GUAAUGACGACACCAUCCAUGGUACCAUUGCACAUGUAUUGGGAAUCAACUCAAAUUGCACCAACCGCACAUAAUCCGCCGAAAAGAUACUCCUAGUCCUCUGUUCACGUUGCUCUUGGUAAGAAUUUUGCGCAAAUAUCCUGUUCCGGACUUUGUUCGCCUGCAAUGAUCAGUUCACGACAUGUUAAACGAGAACACAUUAAACUCGUGUCGGUGUGCAAUUUCGACCUCCUGAUUGAUCUUUAGAACGAGCGACGUUAGGAUCCGCGCGCAGAUUCUGGCCUGGUCGUCUCAAAAGGUGCUGUUCAAAGUAGGAGCUUUUUUUGAGCAAGCACCUGCUUCUGCCAGUUUGUGGCUCCAGUAACGAGAAAGAGGAGAGCCAAUUGCACGGCGGUUCCGGAUACGACACCGAUCCAAAGCCCCUUGGCUCGUAGAUGCAGG